rnacentral:lncRNA from 1 species
UUUUUUUUUUUUUUUUUUUGAGACAGGGUCUUGCUUCGUUUCCCAGGGUGGAGUGCAGUGGCACAAACACUGCUCACUGCAGUCUUAACCUGCUGGGCUCAAGCGAUCCUCCCAUCUCAGCCUCCUAAGUAGCUGGGACUAUAAGUACAUGCCACCACGCCCAGCUAGUUUUUUUGUAUUUUUAAUAAAGACAGGGUUUCACCAGGUUGCCCAGACUCGUCUAGAACUCCUGAGCUCAAGCAGUCCACCCAUCUCGGCCUCCCAAAGUGCUGAGAUUACAGGCAUGAGCCACUGCUCCUGGCCGGGGACUCUUUAGGUACCAAUUUGGAAUCAUCUGUAGGAUAUAUUGGGAAAUUAAAAAUAUAAAGCAUGGAAAUAUAUGAUGUGCUACCAAAUGUGCAAAAAAAAGAGAAAACAAACAUAUCUGUAUUUACUUGUAUAUGUAUAGAUCAUCUUUGGAAAGCUACAGAAAAACUUGUAAUAUUUGCUGUUCCUUGGGAAGGGAUGGGUGGCGGGAGCCAGGACUGAGAAAGAAAAAUUUUCACUCACAAGCCUUUGGAAUUUUCUUUCUUGUGAAUAUGUUAUCUGUUUUAAAAAUAUAAAUGUAAUUAAAACAAAAUAAACCAAAGCAAAUGGCCCUG